UCAAAAACAUGUCUUUUUGUGUUUUAAUUUAAAGUCAGGCCUGCCCAAUGAUUUAUUUAAUGGCCGCAGUAUACUAACUGUGCAAAGGUAGCAUAAUCAUUUGUUAUUUAAUUGAUAACUGGUAUGAAUGGUUUUAUAAAAAAUAUUCUUUUUUUAUUUUUUAUUUAAAAUUUUAUUUUAAAGUUAAAAAGCUUUAAUUUUUUUAUUAGACGAUAAGACCCUUUAGAACUUUAAUUUAUUUAUUAAUUAUAUUUUUAGAUUUUUAAAUAUAAAUAAUUUAUAUAUUUGUGUUGGGGUGACAGCUAAUUUUUAAGAACUUUAAUUUUAAUUUCUCAUUUAUACAUGAUUUUUUUGAUCCAAUUAUUUUUGAUUAUAAGAUUAAGUUACCUUAGGGAUAACAGCGUAAUUUUGUUGGAGAGUUCUUAUUAAUAACAAAGUUUGCGACCUCGAUGUUGGAUUAAAAUAAUAUUUUGGUGUAGAAGCUAAUUUUAUUAGUCUUCCCACUACACU
rnacentral:rRNA from 1 species